rnacentral:rRNA from 1 species
CAGUCGCCGCGGUAAUACAGAGGGUGCGAGCGUUAAUCGGAUUUACUGGGCGUAAAGCGUGCGUAGGCGGCUUCUUAAGUCGGAUGUGAAAUCCCUGAGCUUAACUUAGGAAUUGCAUUUGAUACUGGGAAGCUAGAGUAUGGGAGAGGAUGGUAGAAUUCCAGGUGUAGCGGUGAAAUGCGUAGAGAUCUGGAGGAAUACCGAUGGCGAAGGCAGCCAUCUGGCCUAAUACUGACGCUGAGGUACGAAAGCAUGGGGAGCAAACAGGAUUAGAUACCCGAGUAGUCCCUGUCUCUUAUAU